UACAGAGGGUGCAAGCGUUAUUCGGAAUUACUGGGCAUAAAGAGCGCGUAGGCGGUCUAAUAAGUCUGAUGUGAAAUCCCUGGACUCAAUUCAGGAAGUGCAUCGGAUACUGUUAGACUGGAGUGCAGGAGAGGAGAGCGGAAUUCCUGGUGUAGAGGUGAAAUUCGUAGAUAUCAGGAGGAACAACAGUGGCGAAGGCGGCUCUCUGGACUGCAACUGACGCUGAGGCGCGAAAGCGUGGGGAGCAAACAGGAUUAGAUACCCUGGUAGUCCACGCCGUAAACGAUGGAAGCUAGAUGUCGGAAGUUCUUACCCUUCCGGUGUCGUCGCUAAUGCAUUAAGCUUCCCGCCUGGGGAGUACGGUCGCAAGAUUA
rnacentral:rRNA from 1 species